rnacentral:rRNA from 1 species
CCUACGUGAGGCAGCAGUGGGGAAUAUUGGACAAUGGGCGAAAGCCUGAUCCAGCCAUGCCGCGUGUGUGAAGAAGGCCUUCGGGUUGUAAAGCACUUUCAGUGGGGAAGAAAGCCUUGGGGCUAAUACCCUCGAGGAAGGACAUCACCCACAGAAGAAGCACCGGCUAACUCCGUGCCAGCAGCCGCGGUAAUACGGAGGGUGCGAGCGUUAAUCGGAAUUACUGGGCGUAAAGCGCGCGUAGGCGGUCUGAUAAGCCGGUUGUGAAAGCCCCGGGCUCAACCUGGGAACGGCAUCCGGAACUGUCAGGCUAGAGUGCAGGAGAGGAAGGUAGAAUUACCGGUGUAGCAGUGAAAUGCGUAGAGAUCGGGAGGAAUACCAGUGGCGAAGGCGGCCUUCUGGACUGACACUGACGCUGAGGUGCGAAAGCGUGGGUAGCGAACAGGAUUAGAUACCCCAGUAGUC